rnacentral:rRNA from 1 species
UACGGAGGGUGCUAGCGUUGUUCGGAAUCACUGGGCGUAAAGGGCGUGUAGGCGGCCUGCUAAGUCUGAUGUGAAAUCCCCUCGCUCAACGAGGGAACUGCGUCGGAUACUGGCAGACUCGAGUACCGGAGAGGAAGGUGGAAUUCCCGGUGUAGCGGUGAAAUGCGUAGAUAUCAGGAGGAACACCAAUGGCGAAAGCAGGUAACUGGACUAUUACUGACGCUAAGCUGCGAAAGCUAGGGGAGCAAACAGG